CUUACUCCCAGUUCUUAUGCUCAGGGGAAGGUGCUGCAUUGCACAGUCACCCUGAUAGAGGAACAAGAGGGCACGAGGCAGGAAAGGAGGAAGAAGAGGCUUUAACAGGUAUUCAUCUGAUGUGCCUGUGCUCACGGUGGGGGAGGGAAUGAGCAUGACACAGCUGGGCAGAAUAUCCCUGAAGAGAGGACAAGGUCAAAGAUGAAGAGGUCUGUCUGAGACAGGAAGAGGAAGUAUUGAAGUGGGGACCUCCCUUUAAGACCGGCUCUGCAGACCUGGCCGUCUUGGUUUCACAGGGAAGGAAGCAGGGGUUAUGCAUUCUGCAUCAAGGAUAACUUGGUGCUUCUCACACUAUUUAUUCACAGAUACUCUGUAACCCAUUUGGCUGCUCUUUGAAUUCCUUUAGGCAGGACUCCUACAGAGUAAGUUGGGAGUAUACUUUCGGCCAUAAGAUAUCACAUUUCCAUCCAACCAUACCUUCAACCUCUAAGAGUUUCAAUUGUCACAAAGAACCUGAGAAAUAGAGAUUACUAACCUCAUCAUAUUGGUGAGAAAACAGGCCCAGAGUUUAACUUGAUGAGGGCCACACAGCCAGUAACAGAACCAGGAUGUGACAACAGAUCAGUGCUCCAAAGACCUUACUUUUUCUGCUUACUACAUUUGAAGAACAGUUUUCACAUUUCAGUCAGACACACCUUUAAAACAAGUAUCUAUGAAGCUACAUGACAUGUAAUUAUGUAUGUAUGUAUGUAAUAAGAGAUCACAUCUGUGGGGAAAAAAAACCCCUCAGUUUUCCUGGUUGUAGCUAUAAAGAGUCAUCCCAAGCAUCAUUAAGUGCUUUUUAAUAGAUAUUUCCUUAAUUCAAAUGUUAAGGCUUCCUAGAGUUCAGAAGUGGCUUUUAAGCUUAUUGAUUCUAGUAACAGCUGGAUACAAAGGGUAAUUACUCACUGAAGUAAUAGACAUCUUCCCCCCUUAUGCUUAUAUUCAAGAUCUGUAUUCUGUUCCAUGCAAGAGGGAAUCGUUUUUUUCUAUAUCUCUAUUGUUAUCAGGUAGUAUGUCAGAAUAUGUUUUAUUAAGGAAAACACUGGAUUUGGGGUCAGCAUUUAAUCAAUUCUGCUUUGAGCACAAUGAGGUUAUAGUCUGGGUAGCUGGUUAGCAAGACUCCAAGGAGCUAAUGGGGCUGGGUGGGAAGGAGGGUAUUCUAGUGCAUUUCACUCCGACAUCUUCUUCCCUCUUAAUUCCUGGCCUCUGUGCUUUUAAUCUAUGAUCUAGUCCUGACACAAAGUGGUAAUUGAAUCUCUGCUGUGCUGUUCUUCCAGUUCUCUCCCUUAGAGGAGAGCAAACUAUUUUAAAGGUGGCAUCUAGAACUAAGAUUGAAUAGUAGGAGAUAAGGAUAGUAUUGUCUGUAGAUCCCUCCCCUCCACAGCAUAGCCACACAUCACCUCAUUGGUGGACCCGCCAUCAUGAGGGCACAAUCUUCUGGUCCCUCUGCAAAACAACUGGUGAUGCAAAUGUGCUUACUUUUGCUGGUGAUAGGAGUUCCUAGCAUACUGGCAAAUUGACUGCUGGUAUUUGGUCCAGAUGGUGGCUUCUCUCAAAUCUAUGAUUUUUGGAAGCCUCUGUUCUAAGGUUUUCUGUAUAAUCUUUUUCAAUAGGGACUGAUCCUACUAUCAAAAAUAUUCUCAGAACUCAAGUAUCUAAAUCUCAAUUUGUCAAAAUAUCUAGAAUUAAUCCAGGUAGUUUAGAAGUUUCAAGGAAGUAGAAGUCAUUCAACAAAUACUUGACUACCAAUAAUAAGCGAGCACUGUUCUAGGAGCUGGAAAUAGAAGUAAAAUACACAAACCAAAUGAUGCCAUUACAGUUUGAUAUACUAUUUAUUUAAUUA